UUCCAUGAUGAUUUACUCUUUUAUCACGACGGUCAACAUAGUCUAUACAUUGAUGACCACAGCCUGUGACAGGGCAUUGAUCUGAUAC
rnacentral:snoRNA from 1 species